UUUUGGUUUCAGCUGGAGGGCGUCAAUAACGACACCCUGAACCAGAGGCGGUUCUGCGGUCGACAGUUUCCCCGUGCGAAUGGCGUCCGCACGCUCGGGGACAGCUUCACCAUCUGGUGGUUCUCGGAGCCGCUGCCGGGGGCCAAGAGGACAGCCAGCUUCAAGGUGGUCAUCGUGGCCUACGUCAACGCGUCCGCGUUCAACGGUCACUGUCCAUACGGCUGGCGGCAGUGCGGUGAUGGUGCCUGCAUUGAGCCUGGAGUUUGGUGUGACACCAUUUACAACUGCGGAGACGGCAGCGAUGAGACUCCGGAAAUAUGCGGCGCGUCCUCGUACCGGCUGACCAUUCCAGGAAUCGUCAUCAUUGCGGUGGUGGUGGCCUUUGCUGUGAUCGCAAUCCUCCUGGUCAUCUACGUUCGCAGGCGCAGGAAUGCCCACCGUGCAGCUUAGCAUGGAAGCCGGUGCACUAAAACCAUGGUCCCUAACUAGGAGAGGCAUGGAGCGCGUUUAUGACUGCUGUGUUUACCACGUCCAAAAAAAGAAGUGGUCCCUCAAUUCCCGUCUGGCGACGUCAUAGAAGUGUCACGCUGUCGCCGGUCGCGAUCCUGGCGGUGUGCCAGCAGCGGUGGUAGAUGUGGCAGACGCCUGUUCUGCCGCAGGUCGCUUUCCAGUUUGGCAGUCCACGGAAGUUUCGGCAGCCAGGUGUUGGGACGGCGCGACGACAGCGACACUCGCGCUCGCUCGUGCUUUUUGCCAGCGCGUAUCUUCGACCAACCGCCAGGACCGCGACAUCCGCUAGCAUGACACUCUGGCUUAUGUGACGUCAUUUGGUGCCACUUCGGGGACACUUUUUAUGUGUCGCGAGAUAUAUAGGACGCUAAACAGACCAGUCGGAGACACGCUCGCGAGGCCCCAAACUAAGCCAAACAGAAUGCCCCUUUUCAGGAUACGCGAGAGAACGUGUGGACUGAACAUCAUUGUGUUUCUUUUUUUUUUGUUUGUUUUGGUUUUGGUUUUAACAGAAGUGAAGUUGGGGUUUGCAUAGCCGUCCCGUGCCGUCGCCGCCGCCCUUUCUCCAAAAGUGAGCUGAGUAGAACGUUUCUCCAAACGUUCUACUCAGCUCACUUGCCGACAACUCGAAAUCCUCCCUUAGCAGCGUGGAGUUCGUGCUGCGCCGGGAAAGAGGGUGGCUUUCGACUCACCGAGAUACCGGAACCGCCCAGAGAGCAGAGACGGCUGUCUCCGCCCUCUUGAAAGACGCGUCCACGACAAAAGGUGACGGCAGCCACCCCUCCCCACUCAAAGGGAAAAACUUCGAGGCAGGGCGCGUACAACCGUUUCAAACUAUGCAAAAGCUGUCGGCUCCAAGGUAAUUAGAUUUUUGCGGAGUAGGAUGUAUGCUCCAAUAGUAGUAAAGAAUUUGCGUCAGAGCUCAUGCCGUGCGCUUUCCUUCUCGUGGGUAACAUUCGCGUGUUUUCACUCCCGAUGACUCUGCAAUGUGGAUUGGCGACACACUGGUGUCGGUGAAGUGGGAGCUCCUCCUACCCCUUUCCACUUUAGCAGAGAGCGAACGCAAGAGAGCGGGACCUCCGCUCCAGCACUCGCUCUGCUAAAGUGAAAAGAGGUGGGAGGAGAUUCCACUUUGGCUUUUAACCUGUCACUACGUCGUGGUGUAAGUAGAGAACAUUGAAAGGCCAAAAAGAACAAGGCUAUACGCAUAGCAACUAAAUAAAAAUGAGUUUUCCCAAGCACAUCUCGUCUCUACGUG